rnacentral:rRNA from 1 species
UUGGCUUAGAAGCAGCCAUCAUUUAAAGAAAGCGUAAUAGCUCACUGGUCGAGUCGGCCUGCGCGGAAGAUGUAACGGGGCUAAACCAUGCACCGAAGCUGCGGCAGCGACACUGUGUGUUGUUGGGUAGGGGAGCGUUCUGUAAGCCUGUGAAGGUGUGUCGUGAGGCAUGCUGGAGGUAUCAGAAGUGCGAAUGCUGACAUAAGUAACGAUAAAGCGGGUGAAAAGCCCGCUCGCCGGAAGACCAAGGGUUCCUGUCCAACGUUAAUCGGGGCAGGGUGAGUCGACCCCUAAGGCGAGGCCGAAAGGCGUAGUCGAUGGGAAACGGGUUAAUAUUCCCGUACUUGGUGUUACUGCGAAGGGGGGACGGAGAAGGCUAUGUUGGCCGGGCGACGGUUGUCCCGGUUUAAGCGUGUAGGUGUGUGUUCCAGGUAAAUCCGGUUCACUUUAACACUGAGGCGUGACGACGAGGCACUACGGUGCUGAAGCAACAAAUGCCCUGCUUCCAGGAAAAGCCUCUAAGCAUCAGGUAACAUCAAAUCGUACCCCAAACCGACACAGGUGGUCAGGUAGAGAAUACCAAGGCGCUUGAGAGAACUCGGGUGAAGGAACUAGGCAAAAUGGUGCCGUAACUUCGGGAGAAGGCACGCUGACACGUAGGUGAAGUGAUUUACUCAUGGAGCUGAAGUCAGUCGAAGAUACCAGCUGGCUGCAACUGUUUAUUAAAAACACAGCACUGUGCAAACACGAAAGUGGACGUAUACGGUGUGACGCCUGCCCGGUGCCGGAAGGUUAAUUGAUGGGGUCAGCGCAAGCGAAGCUCCUGAUCGAAGCCCCGGUAAACGGCGGCCGUAACUAUAACGGUCCUAAGGUAGCGAAAUUCCUUGUCGGGUAAGUUCCGACCUGCACGAAUGGCGUAAUGAUGGCCAGGCUGUCUCCACCCGAGACUCAGUGAAAUUGAACUCGCUGUGAAGAUGCAGUGUACCCGCGGCAAGACGGAAAGACCCCGUGAACCUUUACUAUAGCUUGACACUGAACAUUGAGCCUUGAUGUGUAGGAUAGGUGGGAGGCUUUGAAGUGUGGACGCCAGUCUGCAUGGAGCCGACCUUGAAAUACCACCCUUUAAUGUUUGAUGUUCUAACGUGGACCCGUUACCCGGGUUGCGGACAGUGUCUGGUGGGUAGUUUGACUGGGGCGGUCUCCUCCUAAAGAGUAACGGAGGAGCACGAAGGUUGGCUAAUCCUGGUCGGACAUCAGGAGGUUAGUGCAAUGGCAUAAGCCAGCUUGACUGCGAGCGUGACGGCGCGAGCAGGUGCGAAAGCAGGUCAUAGUGAUCCGGUGGUUCUGAAUGGAAGGGCCAUCGCUCAACGGAUAAAAGGUACUCCGGGGAUAACAGGCUGAUACCGCCCAAGAGUUCAUAUCGACGGCGGUGUUUGGCACCUCGAUGUCGGCUCAUCACAUCCUGGGGCUGAAGUAGGUCCCAAGGGUAUGGCUGUUCGCCAUUUAAAGUGGUACGCGAGCUGGGUUUAGAACGUCGUGAGACAGUUCGGUCCCUAUCUGCCGUGGGCGCUGGAGAACUGAGGGGGGCUGCUCCUAGUACGAGAGGACCGGAGUGGACGCAUCACUGGUGUUCGGGUUGUCAUGCCAAUGGCACUGCCCGGUAGCUAAAUGCGGAAGAGAUAAGUGCUGAAAGCAUCUAAGCACGAAACUUGCCCCGAG